GCAAUCUUAAAUGAAGUGCAUAUGACAAUAAUAAGCAGACUUAAGAUGAUGACUUGUUAGAUCUCUCAGAAGUAAUCCAUAAGAACAAUAAUGGAAAAUGCCAUCGCAAUCAGAGUUUAAACAUAAUAAUUUAUUCUUAAAAAAAAUAGCAGCAAACAUUUAUUGAGCGUUUAAUUUGAUAAUCGUACAUCUCGAAUGGACAUAGGGGGCCGGGGGGAGAGGCAUAUCAAGACAGCAACAGUAGUGUUUAUGAAUUGGCAUGCACCGUAUAGCUGGAGAGCUGGAGGCGAUCAGACCGCCGAGGGGACAGAAACGUUGUAUUAUUCGUCCAUUUGCUUUGAUGGCGUCUGUUUGUGGACCGGAGUCUCCUCUGGCGCUAGAGCUGCGGCCGUCCACAGUGGGCUCAGCAGCGGGCUCAGCCCACAUGUCGGAGCAGGGAGCGUGACGACCGAAGCGCUACGCCGCCGGAAUGCCGACGGCCUCAUUCACAAUCAGACCUCCGGGCGGAAACACAGCGAUAUCAUUUCAUCAGCUAUUGUGCGUUCAAGUGCCUCGUGUCUGCUUGUAUAGAGCUAAAAAAAACUUUAUUCUUGAACCACUUAAACCAAGGAGUUAUCAUUGAUAUAUGUUAUUUUUUUGGUUUGCCUAUCUGAGAAUGAUUGCACUCCCAGCCGGUGAGAAGGUGUGUGGUUUGAGUUUCUCCUCAAGGUUGGCUCCUCAAAGGGUUUAUGGGAAGCUUCGGGUUGUCAGAUCUCAUCUGAAUGUGCGCUCGUGAAGUCUGUGGAGACCGUAACUGUGUUAAAGGGCUACAUAAAUAAACAUGACUUGUCUUUGUCACGGUACAUGAACACCUCCUAGGCUACGUCUUACCUAAAACAUUCUGGCGAAUGGGAGAUUGCUGAUCUUCUCUGGGUCUCUGUGGUUGACUGACAGAAAGUCUGAACCAAUAGGAGAUGUGAAAACCCUUAGAAAGUUAGAUACUGUAUCUAAUUGGUCAAUAUGUGUUUGUGUCGGGGAGGGCUACACGUCGUGAUUUAAUUGUAGCUUAUUGGCACAAGCAUACGCCUAAGCGGAAUCACUUACUGCACUGCGAUAUAAUUUAGUUAAAAUUUAAAAACAAAGACAUGAACAAAGAAGAAAAUGAUACAACGUUGUAGGUAUUCCCCGAACAAAUCAAAUAUGAUGAGCAUGGAGGAUUACGUCGACAAAGCAGGGUAGCAUAUACGUUUUCAUAUCGAUUAAGUUUGGCUCUGCUCGUUUCUUCUAGAAGUUCCUCCCCGAUUCUAAGUAUAAUGUGGACACGUGACAUGCAACAAUAUAUAUUUUUUUGGUCAUUUUUUUUCAUUACAUUUUCAAGUGGGAACCAUGUGUCUCCACAUACUGCAGCAGAAACAUCGUCCAGACAUCCACAAAUCCACAGUGAAUGUGCAACCAAUAAGGGUGUGAGCACUGCAGCAGUGUCUUCUGAAAGGUUCUCCAGCCCUCACGUCAUCGUCUUUCAGUCCCCUGACCACUCAUCACCAUCCGACGAUAAACAACCAGGCCGAAGGAUUAAAGCAGCAAAAAGAUCAGCCACUAUUAGAAAGGAAUCGUUAAAACCACCCAGUUAAAGAUUUAAGACACAGAAGGCCACUCCGAGACGGCGGGGCUGCCGUGAGACGCAGACUUGGCAGUUUCAUGACCGUAAAUAAAGAAGCAGAGCACUCGUUUCACACUGAAGCUGGUAAAACAGAUAGAUACAGUAGAUAGAUAAGAAUAGUGACACGGAAAGAGAGGGUGACAGGAUACACCGGCGAGAUCGAGAGAGAGAGAGAGAGAGAGUAUAUAUUAAAAGUACAUAUUAAUACUGUUCCUUCAGCGAUUGCUUUCAUACGCUUCCCAGCGCUCUCGCCCUCCCUCUUUAUUUGCAGAGGGACUGCGGGGGUCUCACCAGCGGACCACUUGGCUGGUGUAGUCUUCGGUGGUGGCGGGGAAAUCGCCCGCACUCUCCUUCCCCGUCCCUAACCGCUCG
ensembl:lncRNA